rnacentral:rRNA from 1 species
GAUGAACGCUGGCGGCGUGCCUAAUACAUGCAAGUCGAGCGAACGGGCGAGGAGCUUGCUGUGUGGAUGUUAGCGGCGGACGUGUGUGUAACACGUGGAUAACCUACCUAUAUGACUGGUAUAUCCUCGGGAAACCGGCUCUAAUACCGGAUAAUAUUUUGAACCGCAUGGUUCAAAAGUGAAAGACGGUCUUGCGGUCUCGUCUAGAUGGAUACCCGCUGCAUUAGCUAGUUGGUAAGGUCAUGGCUUACCAAGGCAAGGAUGCGUAGCCGACCUGAGAGGGUGAUCGGCGACACUGGAGCGGAGACGGGGACAAGAGGCCUAAGGGAGGCACCAGUCGGGAAUCUUCGGCAGUGGGCGAAAGCCUGACGGAGCAACGGCGAGUGAGAGAUGAAGGUCUUCGGAGCGUAAAAAUCGCUUAUUAGGUAAGAACAGAUGUGUAAGGUGCUGAACAGAGCUUGACGGUAAUGAAUCAGAAAGCAACGGCUAACUACGUG